AGAAUCAACGCUGGCGGCGUGCCUAACACAUGCAAGUCGAACGCGAAAGGGGAGCAAUCCCUGAGUAGAGUGGCAAACGGGUGAGUAACACGUGGGUGACCUGCCUUCGAGUGGGGGAUAACGUUCCGAAAGGAACGCUAAUACCGCAUGACAUCCUGUUUUUGGAAAAGCGGAGAUCAAAGCUGGGGAUUCGCAAGAACCUAGCGCUUGAAGAGGGGCCCGCGCCUGAUUAGCUAGUUGGUGAGGUAAUGGCUCACCAAGGCGACGAUCCGUAACUGGUCUGAGAGGAUGAUCAGUCACACCGGAACUGAGACGACGGUCGGACUCCUACGGGA
rnacentral:rRNA from 1 species